rnacentral:rRNA from 1 species
UACGGGGGGGGCAAGCGUUGUUCGGAAUUACUGGGCGUAAAGGGCGCGUAGGCGGUUCGCUAAGUUGGAUGUGAAAACUCUGGGCUUAACCCAGAGCCUGCAUCCAAAACUGGCAAACUUGAGUACUGGAGGGGAAAGCGGAAUUCCUGGUGUAGCGGUGAAAUGCGUAGAUAUCAGGAGGAACACCUAUUGCGAAGGCAGCUCGCUGGGACGUUACUGACGCUGAGACGCGAAAGCGUGGGGAGCAAACAGG